CCGGCGAUGUCCGAAUGGGGAAACCCAGUGCAAUUCGUUGCACUAUCGUUAACUGAAUACAUAGGUUAACGAGGCGAACCGGGGGAACUGAAACAUCUAAGUACCCCGAGGAAAAGAAAUCAACCGAGAUUCCCCCAGUAGCGGCGAGCGAACGGGGAGCAGCCCAGAGUCUGAAUCAGCUUGUGUGUUAGUGGAACGGUCUGGAAAGUCCGACGGUACAGGGUGAUAGUCCCGUACACCAAAAUGCACAGGUUGUGAACUCGAAGAGUAGGGCGGGACACGUGGUAUCCUGUCUGAAUAUGGGGGGACCAUCCUCCAAGGCUAAAUACUCCUGACUGACCGAUAGUGAACCAGUACCGUGAGGGAAAGGCGAAAAGAACCCCGGCGAGGGGAGUGAAAAAGAACCUGAAACCGUGUACGUACAAGCAGUGGGAGCACCUUCGGGUGUGACUGCGUACCUUUUGUAUAAUGGGUCAGCGACUUAUAUUCUGUAGCAAGGUUAACCGUAUAGGGGAGCCGCAGGGAAACCGAGUCUUAACUGGGCGUUAAGUUGCAGGGUAUAGACCCGAAACCCGGUGAUCUAGCCAUGGGCAGGUUGAAGGUUGGGUAACACUAACUGGAGGACCGAACCGACUAAUGUUGAAAAAUUAGCGGAUGACUUGUGGCUGGGGGUGAAAGGCCAAUCAAACCGGGAGAUAGCUGGUUCUCCCCGAAAGCUAUUUAGGUAGCGCCUCGUGAACUCAUCUUCGGGGGUAGAGCACUGUUUCGGCUAGGGGGUCAUCCCGACUUACCAACCCGAUGCAAACUACGAAUACCGAAGAAUGUUAUCACGGGAGACACACGGCGGGUGCUAACGUCCGUCGUGAAGAGGGAAACAACCCAGACCGCCAGCUAAGGUCCCAAAGUCAUGGUUAAGUGGGAAACGAUGUGGGAAGGCACAGACAGCCAGGAUGUUGGCUUAGAAGCAGCCAUCAUUUAAAGAAAGCGUAAUAGCUCACUGGUCGAGUCGGCCUGCGCGGAAGAUGUAACGGGGCUAAACCAUGCACCGAAGCUGCGGCAGCGACACUAUGUGUUGUUGGGUAGGGGAGCGUUCUGUAAGCCUGCGAAGGUGUGCUGUGAGGCAUGCUGGAGGUAUCAGAAGUGCGAAUGCUGACAUAAGUAACGAUAAAGCGGGUGAAAAGCCCGCUCGCCGGAAGACCAAGGGUUCCUGUCCAACGUUAAUCGGGGCAGGGUGAGUCGACCCCUAAGGCGAGGCCGAAAGGCGUAGUCGAUGGGAAACAGGUUAAUAUUCCUGUACUUGGUGUUACUGCGAAGGGGGGACGGAGAAGGCUAUGUUAGCCGGGCGACGGUUGUCCCGGUUUAAGCAUGUAGGCUGGUUGUCCAGGCAAAUCCGGAUAAUCAAGGCUGAGGUGUGAUGACGAGGCACUACGGUGCUGAAGUAACAAAUGCCCUGCUUCCAGGAAAAGCCUCUAAGCAUCAGGUAACAUUAAAUCGUACCCCAAACCGACACAGGUGGUCAGGUAGAGAAUACCAAGGCGCUUGAGAGAACUCGGGUGAAGGAACUAGGCAAAAUGGUGCCGUAACUUCGGGAGAAGGCACGCUGGUGUGUAGGUGAAGUCCCUGCGGAUGGAGCUGAGACCAGUCGAAGAUACCAGCUGGCUGCAACUGUUUAUUAAAAACACAGCACUGUGCAAACACGAAAGUGGACGUAUACGGUGUGACGCCUGCCCGGUGCCGGAAGGUUAAUUGAUGGGGUUAUCCGUAAGGAGAAGCUCUUGAUCGAAGCCCCGGUAAACGGCGGCCGUAACUAUAACGGUCCUAAGGUAGCGAAAUUCCUUGUCGGGUAAGUUCCGACCUGCACGAAUGGCGUAAUGAUGGCCAGGCUGUCUCCACCCGAGACUCAGUGAAAUUGAACUCGCUGUGAAGAUGCAGUGUACCCGCGGCAAGACGGAAAGACCCCGUGAACCUUUACUAUAGCUUGACACUGAACAUUGAGCCUUGAUGUGUAGGAUAGGUGGGAGGCUUUGAAGCGUGGACGCCAGUCUGCGUGGAGCCAACCUUGAAAUACCACCCUUUAAUGUUUGAUGUUCUAACGUUGGCCCCUUACCGGGGUUGCGGACAGUGUCUGGUGGGUAGU
rnacentral:rRNA from 1 species